rnacentral:rRNA from 1 species
UACGAAGGGGGCUAGCGUUGUUCGGAAUCACUGGGCGUAAAGCGCACGUAGGCGGCGUCUUAAGUCGGGGGUGAAAUCCUGGAGCUCAACUCCAGAACUGCCUUCGAUACUGAGGAGCUUGAGUCAGGGAGAGGUGAGUGGAACUGCGAGUGUAGAGGUGAAAUUCGUAGAUAUUCGCAAGAACACCAGUGGCGAAGGCGGCUCGCUGGCCCAUAACUGACGCUGAGGCACGAAAGCGUGGGGAGCAAACAGG